GGAGUUAGCCGGUGCUUCUUCUGUGAGUGAUGUCCUUCCUGCCGGCUAUUAACCCGCAUGCCUUCUUCCUCACUGAAAGUGCUUUACAACCCGAAGGCCUUCUUCACACACGCGGCAUGGCUGGAUCAGGGUUGCCCCCAUUGUCCAAUAUUCCCCACUGCUGCCUCCCGUAGGAGUCUGGGCCGUGUCUCAGUCCCAGUGUGGCUGAUCAUCCUCUCAGACCAGCUACGGAUCGUCGCCUUGGUGAGCCGUUACCUCACCAACCAGCUAAUCCGACAUAGGCUCAUCCGAUAGCGCGAGGCCCGAAGGUCCCCCGCUUUCCCCCGUAUGGCGUAUGCGGUAUUAGCCUGGGUUUCCCCAGGUUAUCCCCCACUACCGGGCAGAUUCCUAUGCAUUACUCACCCGUCCGCCGCUCGCCACCAGGGAGCAAGCUCCCCGUGCUGCCGCUCGACUUGCAUGUGUUAGGCCUGCCGCCAGCGUUCAAUCUGAGCCAGGAUCAAACUCUGA
rnacentral:rRNA from 1 species